AUCAAGCAAAGUUUCAUCGACGUACGAGCUCUACGUACUGACCAUCUUUUCCGCUCUGCAAGUAAUACAAAAUUAUUUAUUUCCUUUAUUACCAUUUAACAACGAAAAUUGUACGAUCUAUUCGAUAUAUUUUAUUUCUCUACGAAUGGAACGUUGUAUAAAAAGGAUCUGAUUGAACGAUCACGGAAUCGUAGGAAUUCAACGCUACGUGCUGUUAUUCGCGGAUGUGCCAUAGCCAAGUUUUGCAGCCUGUUGGAACAUAACGACCAAGGAGUCUAAGGUUUCCUUCGCGAGAAUGCCUUGUCACCAGGGUAUAUAUCGCUGCAUGGAUUUCGGCUGGUACCACCUUCUAAAAUAUUGGUAGGAGCAACGUAACAGAAGCGUCGCUUUUCAGCAGUAAGUGCGAGAUACGAAUAACUAUAAUAAAGAGAUCUUUGGUAUUUUUACACCGGGAAUACUUUCUGGACUUGAAAAACGAUCUCCGAAGAACAAUGGGAUAUUAUUUAAAACGAAACUCAAAGGACACGCUGAUUUUUCGUUGAUGUUAGAGAAAUUGAUAAUUCUAUUCGUUUCAAUCGGUCGAUUCUAUUCAUCAAUGAAAAUAUUAAUUGUUAUUGAUUCAUUAACCAGCCACUGAAUCGAUCUUUAGCGUUAAAGGUAUAAGAAUGAAGAAUCUCUUAUUCCUCUGCUAUCUAAUAAUCUAUAGUACAAUAAUAUAGAAGGACAAAUAUUUAUUUCCUUUGUAAAAUAUAGAUAGCUCAAUUCCUAGUGAUUGUCUUUCAGCGAGUGUUUUAUCUCGAUAAAAUAAUCUCGAAUUAAGAAUAUCGUUACCUGCCCAAUGGAAAUUCCAGUUUCUGUUCGGAUCAGCUCCGUAACAACCCCUUCCGGAAGGUCUUCUAGUCUUCCGCCAUAGACGAUUCUAAAUAGCCAGAAAACAAUAUACUUUGCAGGUAUAUUCUUUUAUCGAGCAUAACGGGCCGAUAGCAGAAGAAAAUAUUUCAAAGAAGAUGUUCGACGAUCUUAUCGUAAGAAGUAUCGUUUAAAUAGCGAUUUGCGUCAAGCGUUUGUGAAUACCUACUUUAUCUUCUUCGUCGAUAACAUAAAUAGUUUUCAUUACGAAUGAAAGGAACGUGUAAAUGAAACCUAGAUUUGGUGCAAAAACCAAGGAUGUUCGUGUAUUUAUGGAAGGUUUAUGGAAAAAGAAUUGGAAAAAUGGGCACGAUCUGCGUAACAGAGAAAAGUAUUAUACAAGAUCUUCAAGAUAUACCUGGUGUUCCUUUUGAACGAAAAUAUAGCGAGGCUUCAGAAUUUUCCAACGCGAUCGAUUCGCGGCCAAUGUUCCACCGAGAAAGUUGCGCUUUCUCGUGGCGACUUUGAACCGCAGACUAAUCGAUAUCGCUUUCUUUUCCGCCUGAAAUGAACUUGACGGUUUCGAGAUACAAGACAGGUGUGAGCGUCCCAAGUGAAUCCUCCCGCGACUUUAUAUACAACGGGGAGCAAC